rnacentral:misc_RNA from 1 species
CCGAGUUUACAACUCCCAACCCUAUGUGAAUUUACCUAUGUUGCCUCGGCGGGGCCUACCCUGUACCGACCCCUUUCGGGGAAGUUACCCUGUAGCCCGCCGGUGGAUUUUCAAACUCUUGUUAUUUAAUGUAAUCUGAAUGUCUUAUAUUAAUAAGUCA